AGAGUUUGAUCCUGGCUCAGAUUGAACGCUGGCGGCACGCCUAACACAUGCAAGUCGAACGGCAGCACGUUGCGGGGCAACCUGCGAUGGUGGCGAGUGGCGGACGGGUGAGUAGUGCGUAGGGAUCUGCCCUGAAGUGGGGGAUAACCCGAGGAAACUUGGGCUAAUACCGCAUAGACUCUGAGGAGUAAAAGCUGCGC
rnacentral:rRNA from 1 species